ACGCUCGACACCUGGGGGGGCAGCAGUCGGGAAUAUUGCGCAAUGGAGGAAACUCUGACGCAGUGACGCCGCGUGCAGGAAGAAGGUUUUCGGAUUGUAAACUGCUUUAGACAGGGAAGAAAGAAAUGACAGUACCUGUAGAAUAAGCUCCGGCUAACUACGUGCUAGCAGCCGCGGUAAUCUGAGGCGGCUGGCAAGGC
rnacentral:rRNA from 1 species